UUAUGGUUCCCAUCUAUUACAUUAAAUACAGCAUUGCACAUGAUACACAUUCUGCCCCUCCAGAGAUUUAGGGGCCUUUGGGUACAAUGUAGACAGCAUAUAGUGUGUAUCUUCAAUCUUGCCUGACUACUGCAAGACUAGUAAACAGAAUAUCUCAAAAUUAUUGUUAUAAUGUAGAAAGGGUGGGGGGAGGAGGAAGGAAUCUAUCUAAGUCAAAGGUAGUUAAGGAGUUUGUGUACGAUUUAGGAAAGAAUUGAAUACACUAUGAAGGAAUCUUAAAUGAGACAGGGAAACUCAGCACUAUGCUACUGAUGUUAUUCUGCUGCAGUAAUGUGGUCUCUAAGGGAACCUGUGCUCUAUGCAUAUACUACCCAGCUAGGCUAUUCUGUAGCCCACUGGCUGCCUUGCUGCUGCUGGUGCUUUCAAAUGGAGGCUACUGCUGAUGUAGCAAGCAGAAUGCUGCACUCAUGCACCUAUUCCCCCAUCAUUUGAUAGUGUCAACUUGCUUUUAUUUCUUGCUUUCAACUUCAGGUCCAUUGUUCCUGUCUGAAAACAUUUUGACCUUUCUCUUUGUGGCAAAAUAAUUAGCAUACCGAUAAGAAGCAAUUUCCAUCUCUUAUACCUUGGAAAUGUACUAAGAGAAGAGGUGCAUUUGAAAAAGUUCACUGGUUGAAUGGUGAACAAAUGGUGGGCAUUUGGAAGCAUUGCAAGGAUUUUUGCUGUUUAUCGUGAAGCAGAUUUCUUACUUUUCUGGGUGAAUCCCUUAAGAUGGAAAGCAGGCUGGCUGAUGCUGAAAUGAUUGUUUGAUUGUCUGGCCUACUUGAAAGUACAGAGUUGGACUGUGUGCAUACACAAAUCAUUUGGACUACUUUGUUUUACAAUUCUUCAGCUUUCCAACUGAUAGUCCAUUCAGACUGCAGACAGCCAGGACCAACUUAUGAAGCAGCCACAUGAAGCUGAAGAAACGCAGUUACAGAAAAUGAAUUUGGAGAAAAACUGGUGAAUUCAACGCAGUGAGAGGCUUGGAAAACAGACUGGACCAAAGAACAAGUAUAUUACUGAACAAUUUCAGGUUGAUCUCAUGUAUUUGUAAUGGCUGGUACAUUCCUUCUACAACAUGGGUAUCAAACUCGUUGACGGAUCAUGACUGUUUUCGCAUUGCUGGAGCUGGGGUGGGCACGGCCUCCACAUGAUGCAACCGGCCCCUGGGCUGGCAGUUUGACACCCCUGUUCUACAAGAUUAUUCCUCUACUUUUAGAGGAGAACAAUUGUAACUGGAUUAAAAAGGGGUUAUAAUACAGUACGUACUUAAAAGGACUGUAUUACCUUAGUCCUUGAUGAUCAUUUCAGCUUUGUUAGUCUAAUCUUGGGCUCUCUUAGUUAUGAUUUGCUCCUUGUACUUUUUUGUGCUCACCCUUGCCUAAGAGAUCUCCUGUUAACAAUUGCGGGAGAUAUUUUAUUAAGUAUAACUACGUGAACAGUUCAAGUAUGAUAUGAAUCUGGGUGAGACUUUCACAGAAAAAAAUUCAUGGUAAUUUCUGAAAAGUAAUGUAUUAUGUGGAUUUAGAUGGACAAAUAGUGACAUUUUGAAAGACCCUGUUACAAUUGAUCUGGCUGAAGUUAAUCUACCUUGAACCUAGAGGUAAAGGAGCAUAUAAAAUACUUAAACUUGUGAAGAAAUUUUUAUCCUAAAUGUAAAAGUAUAUUACUAUAUUCAGUAGCCACAUAAAAAAAACAUUGUAAUAUAUAUAUUCAUUCAUCCUCUAUAUUAAUUGCUUUUUUGCUUUUUUAAGGUAAUAUAUCUUUUUUUACUUUUUCUGGAUUUUACUGUACAAAGUUUUACCAUCCCUGGUUGUCAGCACUGUAAAUUUUAUAAAGGAUUAUGCAUGACUGAUAGGAAAAAAAUCAUGAUUGAUAACUAGAUAUUGGUAACAAAGAAAUAUGAACCCACAGUUAUAAUCACUUAAUGUAUUAGGCCCUCAAAAAUAAUAAAAUAUUUUAGAAAUAUGUGCUUUGAGUAUAUUUUAUUCAUUUAUUAUAGCAAAUUAUAUAGCUCACAUCUCACAGUUGUAACUCUAGGUGUUAAAAUGAAGCAAAACAGAUGAGGGGGAAAAAAAACAAUGGCAGCCAAAGACAAAUGCCUCCAAUCAAAAAGAUGCAGAUAGUCCUCAACUUAACAACCAUUUAUUUAGCAUCUGUUCAAAGUUAUAACAGCACUGGAAAAAAAAAACAUUUACAAUCAUUCGGCACAUUUAUAAGUGUUGCAGCAUCCACUUGGCCAUGUGAUCAAAAUUAGAGCGCCUGGCUACUGGCAUGUGCUUACAACCAGUUGGAGCAUCUUGGGGUUGUGUGGUUGCCAUUUGAAAUCUUCUCAGCUGGCUUCCAACAAGCAAAGUCAAUGGGGGAGGGGGAUUCAGAUUUGCUUAAUGACUGCAUAAUUCUCAACAACGGCCUUAUUUCCCUUAUCCACUGUUGCUAAAAAGUUUGUAAAAUCAGGCAUGACUCCCUUAACACUUACUUUGCUUAGCAAAGGAAAUUCUGGUCAUCCAGACUCAUCCCUUUUCUACAUGUAUCAUUGUGUUACAUGCCCACCUAGAAGUGGUAGAGCAUUCUGUGCAAUGGUGUAAUGCUGCUUUUGUCAUUCUGACAAAACGAAACAAAACAAGAGAGAAGGGGGGGGGGGAAACAUCUAUUCUUUUUCUUAUAUCUUCAUAUUUGAAAAGUUUCUCUUUAAAACUGCAUUUAACUAGUUUUAAAAAAAUAUUUGACGAUCUCAAAUAUCAUAAGAUUUAUGACAUAAUUGUUAAGAAAAAGUAACUUUAAAAAAAACCCGACACCAGAAAUCGAUCUCAGAAAUGAUUAUUUUACAAGCAGUGCUUGCAAAAAUGUUGAUACUUGCCCAGCCACAUAUUCAUAUACCUAUGCUUAUUAAUCAAAGAAUGGCAAUUAUAACAAAUUAUUGACAUAAAGAUAUUAAAUGCUUCACUUUUGCUUUUUUCUUGAAUAUUCUUUUUUUUAAAAGAAAAUUGGACAGUAUCUCCUUGCUCCCUUUGAAAAUCUUUCUAUCUUUUGGUGAGAAGCCUGGAAGGAAGACUUUCCUUUUAUUAAAAUUAGUAAAUCUGAGAUGGACAGUGAUUUAUCUUUAUAUGUAUUUGUGUGUGUGUGUGUAUGUAGCCUUAUUGUCUUAUUCCAACAAACUCAGCUUAUCGGUGGGUAUGUAUGAUAUACAGUACACUAUUGUACCACUUGCUAAGAUAAUCAUAAAAAUGUAGAUAAACUGUAUUUAAUAAAAAUGUACUGUACAAUGUAUGAAACUUACUGCAGUAAGAUCUUAAUGAUUGAAAUAAAAAUAUCUUAUAAAAAUAAGAUAUUUUACAUAAAGGCAAGGACAGAAAAAUAUCCUUGCAUUCUUAAAAGGAACAGAAAAAUAAGAUGCAAACCAUUUUACAGUGAUCAUUGUUGCUACUUAUUUGGCCACUGAAAAACAUGCUGAAAGUAUAAUUUAUUAUAACAUUUUUCUCAUUAUCCAGUCUGGAAUUAUGUACUUUAGACCUAUAAAGGUCAAUUAAUGAUAUCUGCUCUACAUAGAUUUCAUGCUAGAAAAUACACAGAAUACACCCUGAAUUUUAAUUGUAGAAUCGUCCCUAAUACUGCUGAGGUUUGUCCAAAUUGGAUCUUGGCAAACAAACUCUUACUGAGAACAAGCCAAUAUAUACAGAACUCAACAUCCAAGGGAAAGAAAUUACACAAUCACCUCUGGAUAACAGUUCGUAGGCUGAGUAUUUUGGCAACAGCGGAGGGAUCCCUUAGUGUUCAUUAUCACUGAUUUCCAGUGAAGAUGAAUUCCACACAAAGUCAUACAAUGACAGGUCUUGAAAUUUGUGAACACUGAUGCUUUCAGUCAAUGAAUCUAUAAUUUUUGGAAAGAAAUUGUUAAAAAGCAUUGUAUUAAAAUGUAUAAAGUAUUAUUAGCUAUAUGUAUAUACUGGGUCAAACAGAUAUGGGACAGUAAGGAUAUGUGCACCUCACACAAUCAUUUAGUAGUAUGAUUGCAAGAAAGAAUAAUAAUCUCAAGGCUUCUAGUUUUUUUUUUUUUAAAUGAUGCCUCCUCAUAGAAAUCAGGAUCCAUAUGAAUUCUGUUCAAGCAUUAUACCAUCCAGAGCAGUUGGGGUCAGGUGGAGUGACAACA